UACAGAGGUCCCGAGCGUUGUUCGGAUUCACUGGGCGUAAAGGGUGCGUAGGUGGCAUGGGAAGUUUGAUGUGAAAGCUCAGGGCUUAACCCUGAAAUGGCAUUGAAUACUGCUGUGCUGGAGGUUUGGAGGGGGGACUGGAAUUCUUGGUGUAGCAGUGAAAUGCGUAGAUAUCAAGAGGAACACCAGUGGCGAAGGCGAGUCCCUGGACAACACCUGACACUGAGGCACGAAAGCUAGGGGAGCAAACAGG
rnacentral:rRNA from 1 species